AAUCCAUAGGUUAAUGAGGCGAACCGGGGGAACUGAAACAUCUAAGUACCCCGAGGAAAAGAAAUCAACCGAGAUUCCCCCAGUAGCGGCGAGCGAACGGGGAGGAGCCCAGAGCCUGAAUCAGCAUGUGUGUUAGUGGAAGCGUCUGGAAAGGCGCGCGAUACAGGGUGACAGCCCCGUACACAAAAGCGCAUGUGCUGUGAGCUCGAUGAGUAGGGCGGGACACGUGGUAUCCUGUCUGAAUAUGGGGGGACCAUCCUCCAAGGCUAAAUACUCCUGACUGACCGAUAGUGAACCAGUACCGUGAGGGAAAGGCGAAAAGAACCCCGGCGAGGGGAGUGAAAAAGAACCUGAAACCGUGUACGUACAAGCAGUGGGAGCACCCUUUGGGGUGUGACUGCGUACCUUUUGUAUAAUGGGUCAGCGACUUAUAUUCUGUAGCA
rnacentral:rRNA from 4 species